AUAUCUCUAAGGUAUGCCUGCACUAAAAUUGAAUGAUACAGGAAGCUUAGCAUGGUCCACGCACAAGGAUAGCAUGCAAAUUUAUGAAACACUUCAUAUAUUU
ensembl:snRNA U6 U6 spliceosomal RNA